UACAGAGGUCUCAAGCGUUGUUCGGAUUCAUUGGGCGUAAAGGGUGCGUAGGUGGCGGGGUAAGUCUGGUGUGAAAUCCUGGGGCUCAACCCCGGGAACUGCACUGGAUACUGCUUUGCUAGAGUACUGGAGAGGGAACUGGAAUUUACGGUGUAGCAGUGAAAUGCGUAGAUAUCGUAAGGAAGACCAGUGGCGAAGGCGAGUUCCUGGACAGUUACUGACACUGAGGCACGAAGGCCAGGGGAGCAAACGGG
rnacentral:rRNA from 1 species